AAAAGGUCUAAUAUAUUUAUUUUCCUCCGUUGCAUUACAAAGAACAUGAUCCAAAUAUUACAGUACUAGCCCAAUUCUGGACCUUUCAAUCAUUUUCUCAACUAUUCGAAAUUAGACACUAGAAAUGAUAUCCUAAAACAUAACAUAAGACUAUCCAACAGCAACACCAUUGUGGACCUUGCAAUCAGAUGAUAAGACUAUAUAGCAGCAACACCAUUCUCGACCUUGCAGUCAGAUGAUAAAACUAUCCAGCAGCAACACCAUUCUCGACCUUGCAAUCAGCUGAUAAGACUAUCCAAAAGCACCAUUCUAGACCUUGCAAUCAACGUCUAAGCCAUGCAUCGUCAAAAUAUCUUAUGAAUCUACAAAAAUAAAGAAAUGAGAUCAGUAACUUACGGUAGAAAAAAAGGUUAAUAGAGCAGAAAAAUUUAGAAGAGCUAGAUAUAAAGGUUGAAGGCCAUGCAAUAAUUAAUCCGGCUGCAUGGCCAGUAAUUUUUAACAUUUUUAGUGGUCGUAUCAACUGGUCAGCUUUUGCUAAUGUAGCACCAACUCUACAUGUACAUCUCUACGGAAGAAAAACUACAAUUCAUUAGUUUUUUAACCACAGAAAAACUGCAUAUCUAACUGAUAUCGAAUAAAGUUAUGUGACUAGUCGGCGAUAGCAUGAGUGAAUAUGAUGUGAUAUAUUCGCAAAACCCAGGCUAGUUAGAUUUGGAAAGUAUCACACAUCUGUAGCUGAAAGUAGAUAUUAGCGUACUAAACAAACUCACCCCAUUCCAUAAUUAAUUUUCAUCAUGUCGAUAGAAAUAGUAUUUUAUAGGAAGCGAGGGAAUGUAAUUUACACACACAGUAUUUGAUGAAUUGUUUUACCUAAUCUAGUUGUAUCGAGUCAUAUCUCGCAGAAGCAGUAUGAAAAUUUCACAUGCAAGAAAAGUGUUCUUUUUGUACAGAUUAGGUGGGGCAAAAAGAUAGGUAUAUGGUAGAUAAGAAAUAGUAUUCAGGAUGGCAAUUAGUAGUCCAAUUUCCCUUUGUGGUGAUAGAACUACAGUUACAAAUUACAUCAUAAAAAUUCCUAUCUGGCACUAGUGAUGUUCCAUGUUUAAGUGCCAAGAAUAUUGACAUGGAACCAGUGGUGAUGCUAGGAUUUACAAGCUGUGAUUUCAAAGCUAUAUAUUCUAAUUAUACAUUCACGUACUACACUUAAAUGUAGUAAAAUACAAGCGGCAAACCUGAACCAUGUUUUGUCUUUUGACGUCACAGCACC
rnacentral:lncRNA from 1 species